rnacentral:rRNA from 1 species
GGAGUUUGGGCCGUGUCUCAGUCCCAAUGUGGCCGUUCACCCUCUCAGGCCGGCUACUGAUCGUCGUCUUGGUAGGCCGUUACCCUGCCAACUAACUAAUCAGACGCGGGCCCAUCCUGUACCACCUCGGUUUUUCGCACUGUGCCAUGCGGCACCGUACGCUUAUGCGGUAUUAGCAGUCAUUUCUAACUGUUGUCCCCCUGUACAGGGCAGGUUACCCACGCGUUACUCACCCGUCCGCCACUCAGUCAUCCGCUCCUUCCCUCCGAAGAGUUCCGCAGCAGAGCUUCGUUCGACUUGCAUGUGUUAGGCACGCCGCCAGCGUUCAUCCUGAGCCAGGAGUCAAACUACU